UCUGGCGUUAGCGGCGGACGGGUGAGUAACACGUGGAUACCUACCUAUAAGACUGGGAUAACUUCGGGAAACCGGAGCUAAUACCGGAUAAUAUAUUGAACCGCAUGGUUCAAUAGUGAAAGACGGUUUUGCUGUCACUUAUAGAUGGAUCCGCGCUGCAUUAGCUAGUUGGUAAGGUAACGGCUUACCAAGGCAACGAUGCGUAGCCGACCUGAGAGGGUGAUCGGCCACACUGGAACUGAGACACGGUCCAGACUCCUACGGGAGGCAGCAGUAGGGAAUCUUCCGCAAUGGGCGAAAGCCUGACGGAGCAACGCCGCGUGAGUGAUGAAGGUCUUCGGAUCGUAAAACUCUGUUAUUAGGGAAGAACAAAUGUGUAAGUAACUAUGCACGUCUUGACGGUACCUAAUCAGAAAGCCACGGUAACUACGUGCCAGCAGCCGCGGUAAUACGUAGGUGGCCAGCCGUUUAUCGGGAAUCAUUGGGCGUAAAGCGCGCGUAAGGCCGGGUUUUCUAAAGUCUGGAUGGUUGGAAGGGCCCAAGGGGUUCCAAACCGUGGGAGGGGUCCUUGGGGAAACUUGGAAAAAACUUUGGAUUGGC
rnacentral:rRNA from 1 species